rnacentral:piRNA from 1 species
UGCAGAUCAGUCAGAAACAUCCAUGGC